rnacentral:misc_RNA from 1 species
GCUUGCUGAUGGUGUUGGUGAGGCUGCUCAGGUUUAUUCUGAGUUAGUCCGCCUUGGUGCUGGCAUGAAAUUCAUUGAUAUUGGUGGUGGGCUUGGAAUUGAUUAUGAUGGUACCAAAUCUUCCGAUUCUGAUGUUUCCGUCGGAUAUGGCCUUCAGGAUUACGCCUCUACAGUGGUUCAAGCUGUCCGGUUUGUUUGUGACCGGAAGAACGUGAAGCAUCCGGUGAUCUGUAGCGAAAGUGGCAGAGCAAUUGUAUCUCAUCACUCUGUUCUGAUAUUUGAAGCUGUGUCUUCAACUACCACGCGUUCUCAAGAGCUGUCCUCUAUGAGUCUCCACUCCUUCGUGGAGAAACUCAAUGAUGACGCUCGUGGCGAUUACCGGAAUCUAUCUGCUGCUGCUAUUCGCGGAGAGUACGAUACCUGUAUGCUUUAUGCCGAUCAGUUGAAACAGAGGUGUGUGGAUCAGUUCAAAGAUGGUAAUCUGGACAUUGAACAGCUUGCUGCCGUAGAUGCCGUCUGUGACUUUGUGUCAAAAGCUAUUGGUGCUUCUGACCCUGUUCGCACCUAUCAUGUGAAUCUGUCCGUUUUCACUUCAAUUCCUGAUUUCUGG